GUGUCAGCCGCCGCGGUAAAACGUAGGAGGCUAGCGUUAUCCGGAUUUAUUGGGCGUAAAGCGUGUGCAGGCGGUUUAGCAAGUUGGAUGUGAAAGCUCCCGGCUUAACUGGGAGAGGUCGUUCAAAACUGCUAGACUAGAGAAUGGGAGAGGGAGGUGGAAUUCCGGGUGUAGUGGUGAAAUGCGUAGAUAUCCGGAGGAACACCAGUGGCGAAAGCGGCCUCCUAGACCAUUUCUGACGCUAAGACACGAAAGCUAGGGUAGCAAACGGGAUUAGAGACCCCGGUAGUCCUAGCUGUAAACGAUGUAGACUUGGCGUUGGCAGAGUUAAAUUUGCCAGUGCCGAAGCUAACGCGUUAAGUCUACCGCCUGGGGACUACGACCGCAAGGUUAAAACUCAAAUGAAUUGGCGGGG
rnacentral:rRNA from 1 species